rnacentral:tRNA from 1 species
GACCAUGUCACCUAAUGGAUAGGCCUUCUGAUUCCAGAUCAGAAGAUUGAGGGUUCGUGUCCUUUCGUGGUUG